rnacentral:tRNA from 1 species
GGACCGGUUACCGUAACGACGAACGGCCCGGACUUUUAAUCCGGCUGGCCUCACGGCCACAUCGGGGGUUUGAGUCCCUCCCGGUUCACCA